rnacentral:rRNA from 1 species
UGUGCAGCCCUUUGUGCACGGUAUAUUUGCUGAUCACACUCCUUGGCAUUGGAAUGCAAGUGGGUGGUAAUUCAUGUAAAGGUAAACAUGCAAUUGAACUGAUACACACAAGUACCAUGAGGGAAAUAUGAAAAGGACUUUGAAAAGAGAAUUAAAUGAGUUUGUAUUUGCUGAACACAAAGUAAACAGACUUGAUUUGCUUGGUGGGAGUGUUGCACUUGCUUGACAAGAGCUUUGGGCUGUGGGUGUAAUGAUUCUUUCUUUGCAUGCCAGUUUCUAUUUGUACAUCUGAUUACCUUUGCACAUGAAUGAUAAGUCUCCUGUGGGGGGUGGAUUGCAUGUGCAUGUAAUGAUUUGUGUUUUGAUAAAUGUGUCUGGUGUAUGUGUGUGUUCCUGUGCUUGGGGAUGCUUCCUUCCUUGGACUUACAAGCCCUGACACACACAUGCUGGCAAAAUGCUUCUGCUUGACCCGUCUUGAAACACGGACCAAGGAGUCUAACAGAUGUGCAAAGUUGAAGGUGGUAUACCUGUUGCAAUGAAAAGUGCCUGAUAUGUGCACCAGCACCCAUUAAUUAGC